AGCGAACGCUGGCGGCAGGCUUAACACAUGCAAGUCGAGCGGGCACUUCGGUGUCAGCGGCAGACGGGUGAGUAACACGUGGGAACGUACCCUUUGGUUCGGAAUAACGCUGGGAAGCUAGCGCUAAUACCGGAUACGCCCUUUUGGGGAAAGGCUUGCUGCCGAAGGAUCGGCCCGCGUCUGAUUAGCUAGUUGGUGGGGUAAUGGCCUACCAAGGCGACGAUCAGUAGCUGGUCUGAGAGGAUGAUCAGCCACACUGGGACUGAGACACGGCCCAGACUCCUACGGGAGGCAGCAGUGGGGAAUAUUGGACAAUGGGCGCAAGCCUGAUCCAGCCAUGCCGCGUGAGUGAUGAAGGCCUUAGGGUUGUAAAGCUCUUUUGUCCGGGACGAUAAUGACGGUACCGGAAGAAUAAGCCCCGGCUAACUUCGUG
rnacentral:rRNA from 1 species